rnacentral:lncRNA from 1 species
ACCAUAUUGACUAAGUUUAAGGACUCCGUUUAUUGGUGUGGUUAUGAAAUAAGCUACAAACAAAAAAGAGUUUCUGCAUGACAACUACACAUGGAUGAAUCUAUUAGAGCGGCACCUAGGCGGCCAGAUAGUGAAAUACUUAACUCACCUCGCUGCUGCGCUGCCACAUGGUUGGAAAUGGUCCGCAUAAGUUCAAAUUUGUAAUAUUGCCGUAUUAAGAAAUCUACCAUCUUUUGGAUUCCAAAAUUAUGAAUCUAAGUAGGUGUUUACCCUUACGCUAGCGUAAGCAAAGCUUUUGGGGCAGUCAGUCUCACAACUCAGAACAGUUUGGCAAAAGUUGUUUGUCUCUAAAAAUUAAAUAUUGAAUUUUAACAAAACAUUUUCCUGGACUAUUCCACGAUGCCUUUAAAGUGCAUAAUCCAGUGCGUCCACGAGGCAGCACACACUCUAAUCUCGACACGUCCUGUGACAACCUUUACACGCGGGGUAAGUUUUCUAGUGGUUUGAAGUGAGACCGGUUCUGAUCAAAUCUUCAUUAGGGAUGCCGUGCGCCUAUCAAGAACGGUACCAUUGCUAAUGCAAUCUUUUUUGCUGCGAUCUUCGCGCCGCUUUACGUCUGCCUGUUGAAGGAUGGGUUCCUCUUUUUGGUGGACCUGAGCAAGAAGAUGACGCGAGAAUAGAUGCCAUGGAUGCCGUUGCGUCCCAUCAAAUAUAUAGGGUGGUCAGGCUUGGUCAGAUUUGCAUUUACACCUGCAUACAUUCCCACAUAAAUAUGUAACCCAAAACACCGCUCAAUACAUGUUUGUGUAGCAUCGUUA